GUCCGUAUCGAUUAGUGGUUAAAUCAUCUCGUUGUGGUUAUCUUCUAUCUCCGAGAAGCCGCAGGCUCGAAUCCUGCUACGGACA